rnacentral:rRNA from 1 species
GACAGAGGGUGCAAACGUUGUUCGGAAUUACUGGGCGUAAAGCGAGUGUAGGCGGUCUGCUAAGUCGGGUGUGAAAGCCCCGGGCUCAACCUGGGAACUGCAUUUGAAACUGGCGGGCUUGAGUAUGGCAGAGGGGGGUGGAAUUCCGCGUGUAGCAGUGAAAUGCGUAGAGAUGCGGAGGAACACCGAUGGCGAAGGCAGCCCCCUGGGCCAAUACUGACGCUCAGGCACGAAAGCGUGGGGAGCAAACAGG